rnacentral:snoRNA from 1 species
CAGGAGGAAAGUAGCUGAGCAAUGUGAUUCUCACUGCAGACUGAUAAGAUCCAAGUCUGAUCUCAACAUAGAA